CCUACGGGAGGCAGCAGUGAGGAAUAUUGGUCAAUGGGCGUAAGCCUGAACCAGCCAAGUCGCGUGAGGGAUGAAGGUUCUAUGGAUCGUAAACCUCUUUUAUAAGGGAAUAAAGUGUGGGACGUGUCCUGUUUUGUAUGUACCUUAUGAAUAAGGAUCGGCUAACUCCGUGCCAGCAGCCGCGGUAAUACGGAGGAUGCGAGCGUUAUCCGGAUUUAUUGGGUUUAAAGGGUGCGUAGGCGGGAUGCCAAGUCAUCGGUAAAAUUGCGGUGCUCAACGCCGUCGAGCCGUUGAAACUGGCGGUCUUGAGUGGGCGAGAAGUAUUCGGAAUGCGUGGUGUAGCGGUGAAAUGCAUAGAUAUCACGCAGAACUCCGAUUGCGAAGGCAGCAUACCGGCGCCCAACUGACGCUGAGGCACGAAAGCGUGGGUAUCGAACAGGAUUAGAUACCCCAGUAGUC
rnacentral:rRNA from 1 species